rnacentral:rRNA from 1 species
AUUGAACGCUGGCGGCAGGCCUAACACAUGCAAGUCGAGCGAGCGGCGGACGGGUGAGUAAUGUAUGGGGAUCUGCCCGAUAGAGGGGGAUAACUACGGGAAACUGUAGCUAAUACCGCGUACCAUAGGAUGAGCCCAAGUGGGAUUAGGUAGUUGGUGAGGUAAAGGCUCACCAAGCCGACGAUCUCUAGCUGGUCUGAGAGGAUGACCAGCCACACGGGGACUGGGACACGGCCCAGACUCCGACGGGAGGCAGCAGUGGGGAAUAUUGCGCAAUGGGAGCAAGCCUGAUGCAGCCAUGCCGCGUGUAUGAAGAAGGCCUUCGGGUUGUAAAGUACUUUAAGCGAGGAGGCGUUACUCGCAGAAGAAGCACCGGCUAACUCCGUGCCAGCAGCCGCGGUAAUAC